rnacentral:rRNA from 1 species
AAAACUGGGGUUAAUUCCCGAUGGGUGAGGAGGCCUGGAAUGGUUCUUCACUGAAAGGGCGCUAGAGGCAUGCUCUCUAACGUUGCCCAAGGAUGGGGCCGCGGCCGAUCAGGUUGUUGGUGAGGUAACGGCUUACCAAGCCUAUAACCGGUACGGGCCGUGAGAGCGGAAGCCCGGAGAUGGGCACUGAGAUAAGGGCCCAGGCCCUACGGGGCGCAGCAGUUGCGAAAACUCCGCAAUGCACGAAAGUGUGACGGGGCUACCCCGAGUGCCGUCCGCUGAGGAUGGCUUUUCUCCGCUGUAAGGAGGCGGANGAAUAAGGAGAGGGCAAGACUGGUGUCAGCCGCCGCGGUAAUACCAGCUCUCCGAGUGGUANGGGUGAUUAUUGGGCUUAAAGCGUCCGUAGCCGGCCUGGCAAGUCUUCCGUUAAAUCCAGCAACCUAAUUGUUGGGCUGCGGGGGAUACUGUUAGGCUUGGGGGGCGGGANAGNGCCGACGGUAUUCUCGGGGUNNGG